rnacentral:misc_RNA from 1 species
GCAAACUUGGUCAUUUAGAGGAAGUAAAAGUCGUAAAAAGGUUUCCGUAGGUGAACCUGCGGAAGGAUCAUUCAUGAUAAGUGUUUUAUGGCACUUUUUAAAAACAUAUCCACCUUGUGUGCAAUGUCGGGUUAAUCCUUCUUUCUUCACGGGGAGGGGUUCGGCCAAAACAUCAAUCUUACAUUUUUUUAAACGUCUUUGUCUGAAAACUAUUAUGAAUAAAUAAUUCAAAAUACAACUUUCAACAACGGAUCUCUUGGCUCUCGCAUCGAUGAAGAACGCAGC